CAGUAACAUAAAUCUGGCCUACAUGCACAUCCAGGCAUAGUACCUACCCUUGAACUUAAUUAUGACAUAGAUUCUUUUGCUCACAUGUUUUUUUGCUGACCUCCUCCUUAUUAUCACCCUGCUCUCCUACAGCAUUCCUCUUGCUGAGAUAAUGAAAAUAAUAAUCAAUAAAAACUGAGGGAACUCAGAGACCGGUGCUGGUGCAUGUCCUUGGUAUGCUGAGAGCCAGUCCCCUGGCCCCACUUUUCUUUCUCUAUACUUUGUCUCUGAGUCUUAUUUUUUUUCUCAGUCUCUCAUCCCAUCUGACGAGAUAUACCCACAGGUGUGGAGGAGCAGGCCACCCCUUCAUCUGCCACCCAAUGUGGGUGCCUUUCUCUAGGAUGAAGGUAUGCUAAGAAUGUGAGCAUUGAGGACAGUCGAGAGAUUCCUGAGUACAUCCACCAUCAGCCUUGCGGAGAAAAUCAGCUUCCUGUUUGGAUACCCACUAGACAUUUGAAAUUCUACAAUGAACCCAUCAGAGAUGCAAAGAAAAGUGCCUCCGUGGAGAUGGAAAACCCGCAAUGGAGCACCAUCGACUCGCCAGGUGAACAAAAUGGUGAUAUCAGAAGAACAGAUGAAGUUGCCAUCCACCAAGAAAGUGGAGCUGCUGACCUGGGCCCAGCUAAAGAAGCUGACACAGUUAGCUGAAAAAAAGCCUGAAGAAUACAAGGUUAACACAAACUCCAGAGAAUAUGCUGCUUGCAGCUUUAAUGAUUGUACCAACGGUGUCUACAGGUGUAUCCAGCAGCUCUGGAGAGACAGUGACCAGUGAGAAUGGACCAUGAUGACCAUGGCAGUUUUGUCAAAAAGAAAAGGGGGAUAUGUAGGGAAAAGAGAGAUCAGACUGUUACUGUGUCUAUGUAGAAAGGGAAGACAUAAGAAAUUCCAUUUUGAUCUGUACCUUGAAAAAUUGUUUUGCUGAGAUGCUGUUAAUUUGUAACUUUGCCCCAGCCACUUUGCCCCAACUUUGAGCUCACAAAAACAUGUGUUAUAUGGAAUCAAGGUUUAAGAGAUCUAGGGCUGGGCAGGAUGUGCCUUGCUAACAAAAUAUUUACAAGCAGUAUGCUUGGUAAAACUCAUUGCCAUUCUCUAGUCUCAAUAAACCAGGGGCACAAUGCACUGCAAAAAGCCACAGGGACCUCUGCCCUGGAAAGCCGGGUAUUGUCCAAGGUUUGUCCCCAUGUGAUAGUCUGAAAUGUGGCCACAUGGGAUGAGAAAGACCGGACUGUCCCCCAGCCUGACACCUGUAAAGGGUCUGUGCUGAGGUGGAUUAGUAAAAGAGGAAAGCCACUUGCAGUUGAGAUAGAGGAAGGCCACUGUUUCCUGCCUGCCCCUGGGAACUUAAUGUCUCGGUAUAAAACCCGAUUGUACAUAUGUUCAAUUCUGAGAUAGGAGGAAAACUGCCCUAUGGUGGGAGGCGAGACAUGUUGGCAGCAAUGCUGCCUCGUUAUUCUUUACUCCACUGAGAUGUUUGGGUGGGAAGAAACAUAAAUCUGGCCCACGUGUACAUCCAGGCAUAGUACCUCCCCUUGAACUUAAUUAUGAUAUAGAUUCUUUUGCUCACGUGUUUUUUUGCUGACCUUCUCCUUAUUAUCACCCUGCUCUCCUACUGCAUUCCUCUUGCUGAGAUAAUGAAAAUAAUAAUCAAUAAAAACUGAGGGAACUCAGAGACCGGUGCUGGUGCAGGUCCUUGGUAUGCUGAGUGCAGGUCCCCUGGGCCCACUAUUCUUUCUCUAUAGUUUGUCUUGUAUCUUAUUUCUUUUCUCAGUCUCUCAUCCCACCUGAUGAGAUAUACCCACAGAUGUGGAGGGCCAGGCCACCCCUUCAAACAUAAACUUAUGUUUAGUUUAAUAUAGAUACACACAGUUCUACAUAGAAAACUUUAUAAUCAGGUGUGUAUAGGUAGGUUAGACACACACAUAUACUUCCUAGCAUUGCUAAUGAGGGACAAGAUACAAUGUGCUAAUUCAACAGCCAGAUGUAAGUUUUCCUACCAUUCUGAAAGGAAUCAGGCUCUUUGAAGAAAUGUCUGAUACUAGAACUGGGACAGUAAAUAUAGGAGCCAGGAUAAUCUUGAAGUAUCAGAAAGUAAGUACUAAAAAAAAUUAAAAUAUAUCAAAGAAAAAUAAGAGCCAAUAAUAACAGCUACCGAAGGCCAACACAGGAAUGAAUUGUGCAACACAAUGCUGCAGUGUUGAAUAAUAACUGAAGCUUAAAGUAAUUAUCUAGGUGUCUGUAUUUGUAUACAUAGGUGAAUAAGCUAAUGGAGUUGCAUAGAAAUCUCCUUUGCAAAAGAAUUCCAAAUAAUUGAUGUAGACACUCAGCCAUCAGGAAGGUGGAGCCAACUCCUCACUCCAUGAGUGUGGGCUCUGCAUAGUGACUUGCUCCAAAAGAACACAUGCAGUAUGGACAAGGAGGAAAAAUAACUUCACAGUGGAGAAACCUGACAAACAGUAGCUCUGCCAAAUGAUCCAAGUGAACAUCAAAAAUGACAGUUUACCUUGAGAACAUGAAGUGAAAAUGGGGGACAUUCUACAAAAUUCCUGACCAAUCCUCCUCAGUACUGUCAAGGUCAUCAUGAGAUGGAAAGCCUGACACACUGUCACAGCCAGGAAGAGCCUAUGUGAUGACUACAUGUCGUGCGGGAUCCUGGAUGGGAUCCUGGGUCAGAGUAAGACAGACCUAAGGGAGUCCAAAUGAAAUGUGAACUUUAGUUAAUAAUAGUCUAUCAGUAUUGGUUCAUUAACUGUGACAAAUUAUGUAAGAUAUUAAUAAGCCAUGUGAGACACACUGAUAGAAGAUGUUAAUGAGAGGAAACUAGGUUGUGGCUACAUGGGAAAUCUCUGCUUUUUUUUUUUUUUUUUGGUAAUUUCUGUGUAAGUAAAAAAAAAAGAUGUAAAAUAAAACUUUAUUUAAAACCUUUUUAUAUUUUUUAAUGCUUCCUUGCUUAAUUAUUUAUACCGUGAAUUACUAGUAAUUGACACUGUUAACUAGUCCUGUUUUUUUAAAUAAGAGCAUUUAUGACACAAAAAAUUAAACAGUGCAGACUGAUAUAUAAAUCAAAACAAACGCUCUGUAUAUGUUUUCUGUUACAGUAGUAACACAUAUGUGUAAACUUAAUUAUCGUAUUUUUGUCUUGUGCUAUGGUUGUGUCCUGGUUCAUUCUCUAAAAUGCUGAUCACCUUAGACCAGGAAAAAAAAUAAACUUACAGGAUCUGUUUCAAUUCAUGGCUAAAUAUUUUCAAAAGAGUGACUGUAAAAAUAUGUUCCAAUGGCAAAUUGAUUCAUUGUGAUGGGAUCACUUAUUCUAAAGACUUCUUGUCUUUACUUUGUUCCCAUGCCUACCUUUUAGCCAUAAUACAACAGAAUCAAAUAUUGGCCAUUGGGAAAAAAUAUUCAAAGAAAGAAAGAAUGUGAACAGAACUUACAACCAUGAUGAUUCAAUGUUUUACCACAAUGCUUUCUAAAAAUAAGAGUGUAAAAGGAUAUUCAAAGUCAAUUUCCUCAGCGAGGCUUUGCAGAAAAUGAGGAAACUAAAGAAACAAAAAUGGCAGGACGUUCUACGGGUGAUUUUAGAUGUUGCUAUGUUUUAUGGGAAAAAAAUACUUUACCUUUUAAAGAAUCACUAAGAAUUAUUGGAAACCCAAACUCUGGAAUGUUUGCAAAUUUAGUUGAGCUUCUGUGUAAUUAUGUCUAUGUAGCUAGGCAUGAAGUUGAUGAUUUUUUAAAAAUCUUUGCCUUAUUUGUGUAAUAAAAUACACAAUAAAUAAUUAAUGCUCAUAG
rnacentral:lncRNA from 1 species